AACGAACGCUGGCGGCAUGCCUAACACAUGCAAGUCGAACGAGACCUUCGGGUCUAGUGGCGCACGGGUGCGUAACGCGUGGGAACCUGCCCUUAGGCUCGGAAUAACUCCCCGAAAGGGGUGCUAAUACCGGAUAAUGUCUUCGGACCAAAGAUUUAUCGCCUUUGGAUGGGCCCGCGUUGGAUUAGCUAGUUGGUAGGGUAAAAGCCUACCAAGGCGACGAUCCAUAGCUGGUCUGAGAGGAUGAUCAGCCACACUGGGACUGAGACACGGCCCAGACUCCUACGGGAGGCAGCAGUGGGGAAGAUUGGACAAUGGGCGAAAGCCUGAUCCAGCAAUGCCGCGUGAGUGAUGAAGGCCUUAGGGUUGUAAAGCUCUUUUACCCGGGAUGAUAAUGACAGUACCGGGAGAAUAAGCUCCGGCUAACUCCGU
rnacentral:rRNA from 1 species